CAGCCACUCAUUCAAAGAGUGCGUAAUAGCUCACUGGUCGAGUGAUCCUGCGCCGAAGAUUUCCGGGGCUAAAACUUACUACCGAAGCUACGGCAUCAGUAAUGAGGGGUAGGUGGGCUUCCCAUACGGGUUGAAGCAUGACCGAAAGGACAUGUGGACAGUAUGGGAGUGAGAAUGUUGGCAUGAGUAGCGAGAUGUGGGUGAGAAUCCCACAGGCCGUAAACCCAAGGUUU
rnacentral:rRNA from 1 species